GUCAAUGACUCGGUGGUGGCUGUGAAGGUGGGUCCCCCUGAAAUACAGGGAUAUCAUCAUCGGUAUCAUCCUCAUUGGUAGCUCGUACGAGUCGGUACUGAGGAGGGUCGAACCCACGAUGACUCUCAAUCAUUCACAUAUAGAGCAUACUUUGGAUGCCCUAUGGGGACAUCUGGCCAAUGAGAGUGAGCGAUGAAGACUACGCC
rnacentral:lncRNA from 1 species